UACCAGCUCUCCGAGUGGUGUGGAUGUUUAUUGGGCCUAAAGCAUCCGUAGCUGGCCAAGUUAGUCCCUUGUUAAACCCACCGAAUUAAUCGUUGGAUUGCGGGGGAUACUGCUCGGCUAGGGGACGAGAGAGGCAGACGGUAUUUUCGGGGUAGGGGUGAAAUCCUAUAAUCCCGGGAAGACCACCAGUGGCGAAGGCUGUCUGCUAGAACGCGCCCGACGGUGAGGGAGGAAAGCUGGGGGAGCGAACCGGAUUAGAUACCCGGGUAGUCCCAGCUGUAAACGAUGCAGGCUAGGUGUUUGGACGGCCACGUGCCGUUCUAGUGCUGCAGGGAAGCUGUUAAGCCUGCCGCCUGGGGAGUACGGUCGCAAGAUUGAAACUUAAAGGAAUUGGCGGGGGAGCACCACAAGGGGUGAAGCUUGCGGUUUAAUUGGAGUCAACGCCGGAAAUCUCACCGGGAGCGACAGCAGUUUGAAGGCCAGAUUAAAGGUCUUGCCAGACGAGCUGAGAGGAGGUGCAUGGCCGUCGCCAGUUCGUGCCGUGAGGUGUCCUGUUAAGUCAGGCAACGAUCGAGACCCGCGUCCUCUGUUGCCACCAGUCUUGAGCUGAGCACACUGAGGAGACCGCCGCUGAUAAAGCGGAGGAAGGAGCGGGCCACGGCAGGUCAGUAUGCCCCGAAUCUCCCGGGCCACACGCGAGCUGCAAUGGCAGGUACAAUGGGUUCCGACCUCGAAAGGGGAAGGCAAUCUCGAAACCUUGCCGUAGUUGGGAUUGAGGGUUGUAAUCCAUCCUCAUGAACAUGGAAUCCCUAGUAAUCGCGUGUCACUAGCGCGCGGUGAAUACGUCCCUGCUCCU
rnacentral:rRNA from 1 species